rnacentral:rRNA from 1 species
CCUACGGGUGGCAGCAGUCGAGAAUCAUUCACAAUGGGGGAAACCCUGAUGGUGCGACGCCGCGUGGGGGAAUGAAGGUCUUCGGAUUGUAAACCCCUGUCAUGUGGGAGCAAAUUAAAAAGAUAGUACCACAAGAGGAAGAGACGGCUAACUCUGUGCCCGCAGCCGCGGUACUACAGAGGUCUCAAGCGUUGUUCGGAAUCACUGGGCGUAAAGCGUGCGUAGGCUGUUUCGUAAGUCGUGUGUGAAAGGCGCGGGCUCAACCCGCGGACGGCACAUGAUACUGCGAGACUAGAGUAAUGGAGGGGGAGCCGGAAUUCUCGGUGUAGCAGUGAAAUGCGUAGAUAUCGAGAAGAACACUCGUGGCGAAGGCGGGUUCCUGGACAUUAACUGACGCUGAGGCACGAAGGCCAGGGGAGCGAAAGGGAUUAGAUACCCGUGUAGUC